UGGGGAAUUUUGGACAAUGGGCGCAAGCCUGAUCCAGCCAUGCCGCGUGCGGGAAGAAGGCCUUCGGGUUGUAACCGCUUUGUCAGGGAAGAAAUCUUCUGAGUUAAUACCUCGGGAGGAUGACGGUACCUGAAGAAUAAGCACCGGCUAACUACGUGCCAGCAGCCGCGGUAAUACGUAGGGUGCAAGCGUUAAUCGGAAUUACUGGGCGUAAGGCGUGCGCAGGGCGGUUUUGUAAGACAGAGGUGAAAUCCCCGGGCUCAACCUGGAACUGCCUUUGUGACUGCAAGGCUUGAGUGCGGCAGAGGGGGAUGGAAUUCCGCGUGUAGCAGUGAAAUGCGUAGAUAUGCGGAGGAACACCGAUGGCGAAGCAAUCCCCUGGGCCUGCACUGACGCUCAUGCACGGAAAGCGUGGGGAGCAAACAGGAUUAGAUACCCUGGUAGUCCACGCCCUAAACGAUGUCAACUGGCUUGUUGGGAAGGUUCCUUCUCAGUAACGUAGCUAACGCGUGAAGUUGACCGCCUGGGGAGUACGGCCGCAA
rnacentral:rRNA from 1 species